UGUCCUUAUUUGCCAGCACGUAAUGGUGGGAACUCUAAGGAGACUGCCGGUGACAAACCGGAGGAAGGUGGGGACGACGUCAAGUCAUCAUGGCCCUUAUGACCAGGGCUACACACGUGCUACAAUGGGACGUACAGAGGGCAGCAAUACCGCGAGGUGGAGCGAAUCCCACAAAGCUUGUCGUAGUCCGGAUUGGAGUCUGCAACUCGACUCCAUGAAGUCGGAAUCGCUAGUAAUCGUAGAUCAGAAUGCUACGGUGAAUACGUUC
rnacentral:rRNA from 1 species